UCUUGCGCGACACGGCGAGAGAGUCGGAGAAGGGGUCUCGGCACUUGUGUGGCCUGUGCCGUCUCCUUGUGUUGAACUACCGUGGCUUUGUCUUUCCCGCGUCUCUGCCGGUUGCGUGGCGGACUGCGCGUUUUGCCUGGCCGCCUAGAGCCUGUAUUGGCACGCACACGUCUCGUCGGUAGAACCACGACCCUUCCGGCCGCCCUUCCGCGCACAGGGCUUAAUGGCUCGCCAUUACUUCCAGGCGUUAUUUGUUCUGCGAGGAAAGACCGCCGCUGCACUGGCACAUCGGCGCGUGCCGCAGUUGUCGUCGGCUUCACAUUUUCCUCGUCUCUACAUCGCUUUAUCAGUGACGCGCUUGACGGAGCACCUUGGGCUUGUCGGUGCAGCAUGAACCGCUGUAGUGUAAAGAGGCGCCUUUCGCUGCGGCUGCCAGUGGUGCCGACUGCAGGCCUCCUGCGGCGAGCACCACGAGCAGCAGGCACGCGCAGCGGCAGCGGUGCACUUUGUGUCGCUGCUGCGCCCAUCGGCAGUAGCACCAGCCUCGUUAGCUCCUCUGGCCGGAAGGCUCCCGUGUACUACAACUUUGCCACGCCGGUGAGUGUGCUCCGUGAUGCGGCGGGUGGUGAAAGUGUGUCUCACCGACGCCAACGCCGCGAGGCGCCGGCUCGAGAGGGAAGGCUGCUACUUGUGGCGCCGCGCACGCCGAAUCCGAACGACCCGCUUCAGCGACUGAACAUUUUUCGACGCGAGUUUUCCGAUUUCAGCAGCGCCGCAAAGCUCAAUCAGAAUAUCAUGGUGAGCGUCGACACGAGCACGCGCCGCUUCCUCGAAAUGUUCUGUGACUUUGAUGCCAAACGCUGCAAGCUGUGCAAUGAGACGUUCUUGCAGUGGCACAUCCACGCCAACGGCAUUCCGCACGUGGGGCGAGAAGGGAUGCUGCUGGAGCUUGUUCGCCCGUAUUGUGGAACUCCGGAUGAACUAAUAGACAUGUGGUGGCAGCGGCUGAACUCGUGCGCUGCGUUUCACCGGAUUCCCGCCCUGAGUCACGACAACCCACACGAGCGCAAGCGGCGUCUGCUAUAUCUGCUGAAGGUGCUGAAAGACCGCGGCAUCCUUGUAGAGACGUUCAACGUGAGUGACAACCAGUCCACCAACUCAGCGCGCUCGUGGGAGUUUGAGAGGCUCGAGUUCGUGGGCGACAAUGUGGUCAAGUACGUGCUGAACAGCAUUAUUUCCUGUGCAUUUCCACCUCACGAGGGCGGCACAAAAGGAAAGAUGACGUGCUUUCAGUUCGUGAUGGACGGCAACGAUGGCUUGGCACGCGGCUACGACCACCUCGACCUCCAGCAGCUCGCCUCCAGCCCUAGGGUAGUCAGCAAAUUCAAGAGUGACAUUGUCGAGACCCUGUUCGCGGAGCUGCAGAUGUACCUGUGGAGCACGCAGCACGAUGUCGGCACCUGUCCUCUUGUGUUUCCAUUUACGAAAGAUAUUUACACCCUGCGGGCGCUGGUGCAGCAUGCGCUGUACGAGCUAGCUAUUGAACUCUUUCUCUACCACAUUCGCCACAUUAACGGCAUGCUACAACGCGUGAUGCGAGAGAAUCACCUGCAGUUCGUAAAAGCAGAUUCCACGCUGAAGCCAAGGGCGGGCGCAAGGGCCGGGAGUUUGGGCGUGAGCACGCGCCGUGGUGACUGGAGCGAUGACGACGAUGACUACGACUGCCCGCAAAGCUACGGUGCGCCGGCGGUGCCCGCCCCCACGGCGGCCCUCAUGAAGGUGCGCUGCGAGCGCACCCACCUGAAGGGCACCGGUGCGGCGCUGUUCUUUGCCUCGACAAACUACGAUAGCUUCAAGCACGUGGUACCGAUCGGUGGCCUUUUGCCGCGGCCAUUUGCGCGGGAGGAUUUGUCAGUGAUCCCAAACUACAUGCCGCACCUCCGGCGCGAUGGCGCGAUGACGCUGAGGAUGAGGAGGGCCGGGAAUGCCGGCUGGUCGACCCUGCACGGCACAGCAGCAGCUCUCGCCACGAGGGAAGGCGUUGCCGGCGGUCUCGCCCUAAGUGCCGGCAUCACACCUCGUGUGGGCAGCGAGCCAGUACGCUUGUCCGUUCCGCGUCUCAAGGACGAGGAGCUCAUUCCAGAGCUGAUCUAAGCGCCUCACCGGUGCGCCUCUCCUUAUGUGUCUCUUCUUUAUUUGGGGCCUCACUUCCCCGCCUCUUCCUCCAUCUCGAACACGAGAGAGCUGGUCGAAGUGGCUCGGGUCGCAUGCGGGGGAGUAGGUUAGCAGAUGCAAGAGACAAGAAGACGAGCUUGCAGCGCUACAACAGCGACUCUGGACAACUGAGAUACAAACGCAGACAAACUCACUCAUGAUGACACCGCACAUACUCACAACAUGCACGAAGCUCUAUGGAGAAUCACAUCAACGACAACAAAAAGAAACCCUGGGUGGGGGGCAUGCUGGGGUGCAGGUGUGGAGGUGACGCUGCCCUUCGACGAGCUGGCAGGCGAGGCGCCUCCACUGUACAAGGCGAAGGGCGCGAAUGAAGAGACGAAGUCUCAGGAGUCGUUUUUUUUUUCGUAUCUCAGAGCCCCACCCCCCUCCUCACACACACACACACACGCACACUUUCCUCCCCUCUUAUAUCCGUUGUCUACCCCUCUUUCCCGUUUUUGUGCAGCGUGUGUGCGUGCGCGAGUGGGCUUGCUAAGUCUGCAGGAGAGAGGAUGGGGCAGGGGUAACAGAGGCUCUCGUUACAGGUCCAUGCUGUGGUCUAUUGUGUGCACUCAUGUCGAUCCGUGUCAAGUAUCACUGCGGACGCUUUCCUCCUUUCUGGUCGCGUGCUUCGCUGCUCAUUUCUCUCUCUUCCCUCCUCUCCGUGCGCUGUGGCACCCGCAG
rnacentral:misc_RNA from 1 species